GGUACUAAUUAUUUACUUUGAUGUGGUAAGAGUGGGAAAAACAAAUACUCCCUAGUACCU
rnacentral:tRNA from 1 species